rnacentral:rRNA from 1 species
UACGGAAGGUCCGGGCGUUAUCCGGAUUUAUUGGGUUUAAAGGGAGUGUAGGCGGCCUGUUAAGCGUGUUGUGAAAUGUAGAUGCUCAACAUCUGAACUGCAGCGCGAACUGGCUGGCUUGAGUACACGCAACGUGGGCGGAAUUCAUGGUGUAGCGGUGAAAUGCUUAGAUAUCAUGAAGAACUCCUAUUGCGAAGGCAGCUCACGGGAGUGUCACUGACGCUUAAGCUCGAAGGUGCGGGUAUCAAACAGG